GCCUCCAUAGCUUAGCGGUAGAGUGAUCGGCUGUUAACCGAUUGGUCCCCGGUUCGAUCCCGGGUGGAGGCG
rnacentral:tRNA from 1 species